rnacentral:snRNA from 8 species
AUACUUACCUGGCAAGGGAGACACCGUGAUCAAGAAGGCGGUUCACCCAGGGCGAGGCUCAGCCAUUGCACUCCGGCUGUACUGACCCCUGCGAAUUUCCCAAAUGUGGAAAUCUCGAUUGCAUAAUUUCUGGUAGUAGGGGACUGCGUUCGCGCUCACCCCUG